AAUAACACGGAGUUGAGUUUAAGUGGAUCCUUUCCAACUCUUGAUUUGAUUAUUGAAGAGGCGUUAUAUGCUCAACAUUUAUAUCGAAGAGGCGUUAUAUGCUCAUCUCGUUGCUCAUUGGCUUUUGGACACAUGCAACUGCUCUCUAGCACUGGUUCUUCAACAGUCAAAACAAAUUGCAAAGGUCUCUUACUUUUACACCCAGCAUCCGAGAAUGGAUUAAAAUGGAUUGGACUAUUCGAAUUCGUACUUUAAACAGCGAAAACUUUUUUUUGGAUUCAAUUGGAUGCACCUGGAUUGAAAAACUGCGUUUCCUAUUCAAAAUUUUGAAUUGUACAGUAUUCACUAUAUGGUCACAAACGCACUGAAAGAGCUGAUAUUAUUUUUAGAUUGAAAAGAUACUGGGCAGUUCAGCAGUUCUUGUUUUUGAAGGUGGCUUUAUAUAUCUCUUAUUUUUGUCACUCAGGAUGAUUAUCAUUAACUUUGAUGACAGUCGAGAGCUUUUCCACACACUUAAGGUGAAUGGGUUUAUUCUACUAGUUUGGAGACUCGCUGGAAGAACCUGUCAUGGUUACAACCUGACAUAAUAUCAUGUGACAGCAGACUGUGCUCGAUUUUUGUUGUAUUUCUGUU